GAUGAACGCUGGCGGCGUGCCUAAUACAUGCAAGUCGAACGGACGGACGAGAAGUUUGCUUCUCUGAUGUUAGCGGCAGGCGGGAGUAUCACACGUGGGUAACCCACCUAUCUGACUGGGAAAACUUCGGGAAUCCGGAGCUUAUCGCGGAUGAUAUUUUGAACCGCAUGGUUCAAAAGUGAAAUACGGUCUUGCUGUCACUUAUGGAUGGUUCCGUGCUGGAUGAGCUAGUUGGUAAGGUAACGGCUUACGAAGGCAACGAUGCAUAGCCGAUGUGGGCGGCGGAUCGGCCACACUGGAGCUGGGACACGGUCCAGACUCCUACGGGAGGCCGCAGUAGGGAAUCUUCCGCAAUGGGCGAGAGCCUGACGGAGCGACGCCGCGUGAGUGAUGAAGGUCUUCGGAGCGUAAAGCUCUGUUAUUAGGGAUGAACAUAUGUGUAAGUAACUGAGCACAUCUUGACGGUACCUGAUCAGAAAGCCACGGCUAACUACGUG
rnacentral:rRNA from 1 species